CUUGUUGGCCAAAACAUGCUCUAGAAUUGGGGAGUGAUGACCAGCCACACGAGGUACAUACGAGUGAAACUGCCUUGUUGCCCAACCCUUGUUUCUCUUGUUACCAUUUGUAUGUAUGCUUAUAUACGUCCAUUUGAUGUGCCGGGCUAAUCCGAAGGUGGUUAGGAAAGGGUUUGUGAAGAGGGCGGGGUUGGCCAAGAACCGCAAGGGGAAAAAGUUGUUCGUGGUGAUGGAGGCCAAGCGGAGCAACCUGUGUGCCUCCGCAGAUGUUGGGACAGCCAAGGAGCUCCUUCAGCUUGCUGACAAGCUACUGAAAUGCCAGAACUGCUCUCUUUGAUGGCAUUAAAGAAGGUGCAAUACAAGCACCAACUUAUUCUUCACAUGAGAAUGAGUGAGCUAUGGAUGGAUUCCAAGAUCGAGUCAGCAUUCGCAAGAGGGGUGAUCGACUCUAACUAGCGCGGCCCGGUGGGCACUGUGCUCUUCAACCCGGUGAAGCCCGGCGGCCACGUCACACAGAUGAUCGUCCAGGUGAUCGUGACACCGAAGGUCGCCGAGGUGGAGGACCUUGACGCCACCCUCCGAGGGGAGGGAGGAUUCGGGUCCAAUGGCGUCUGAACUUCGAGCCUUGGUAGAUACAUCUAGAGAAGUGGUUUGUUUAGGUUGGUGGUGAACACUAGGGAAGGUACCCACGUUUCGAUGAUGGUUGUGUGCGUCCGAUGUUAAAUGGAUUCUUGUGAUCUCUUCCAGUUGA